rnacentral:rRNA from 1 species
AUGAGUACUAUAGCAUUAUCCUCCGGUUUCCAUGCCAUGCUACAUAUCCUUUCAUCAAACUUCUGCCUCUCAAUGUCCUGCCUUGACUUCACAUCCCAGACAAGCACCUGCCUAUCCAGGCUAGCAGUUGCCAGGUACCUCCCAUUCGGGGACCAGCAAAGGCUGCAUAUUGGCUGCUCAUGUUCUCCUUUCAGUGUGAAUACCUCCUCCGCGGUGUCCCUGUCAUACAUGACCACAUUAUUCCUCAGCCCAGGAACAGCAAGGGUGUGCCCGUCGGGACUCCAACACAGGGUAUUCUUCACUGAGUGGUCGGAACCGAAUGUCGGGGCGACACGAGUCAAGCUUCGUGCCUCACUGCCCAAACAAAGAUCCCAAAAGAUGACCGUGCCAAAGCUGUCGAUUGAUGCCAGAUAA